rnacentral:rRNA from 1 species
GGCAGCAGCCGCGGUAAUACCGGCGGCUCGAGUGGUGGCCACUUUAUUGGGCUUAAAGCGUUCGUAGCUGGGUUAUUAAGUCCCUUGGGAAAUCCGACAGCUUAACUGUCGGGCGUCUAAGAGAUACUGGUAAUCUUGGAACCGGGAGAGGUGAGGGGUACUUCGGGGGUAGGAGUGAAAUCCUGUAAUCCUCGAGGGACCACCUGUGGCGAAGGCGCCUCACCAGAACGGCUUCGACAGUGAGGGACGAAAGCUGGGGGAGCAAACCGGAUUAGAUACCCGGGUAGUCCCAGCCGUAAACGAUGUGCGUUAGGUGUAUCGGUGACCACGAGUCACCGAGGUGCCGAAGGGAAACCGUGAAACGUACCGCCUGGGAAGUACGGUCGCAAGGCUGAAACUUAAAGGAAUUGGCGGGGGAGCACCACAACAGGUGGAGCCUGCGGUUUUAAAUUGGACUCAACGCCGGAAAUCUCACCGGAUAAGACAGCAGAAUGAUUGCCGGGCUGAAGACUCUGCAUGACUAGCUGAGUAGAGGUGCAUGG